UGCAUUCACUACUGUAAGUCACUCUGGAUAAGAGUGUCUGCUAAAUGACUCAAA
rfam:Salmo salar isolate Sally breed double haploid chromosome ssa03, whole genome shotgun sequence.